AAAAAAAAAAAAAAAAAAAAAAGGUUAGUGUACAGACUGGCCUCACAGAGAUCAAAAACAGCUAGUUGGAGAACUUAAGUUACCUGAUUUUAACACUUUAGGGAGGGAUUAGAUCAUGAGGACUCCAACUUCAUGAAUAGAUUAGUGCCCUUAUAAAAGGGCCCAAAGGAACCAGCUAGCCCUUUUAUGCCUUUCCAUCUCUUUCACCGUGAGUACACAGUGUUCAUUUCCUCAAGAGGACACAACAAGGCACCAUCUUGGAAGCAGAGAGCGAGCCAUCACUGGACACCAAACCUGCAGGUGCCUUGAUCUUGGACUUCCCAGCCUCUAUAACUCAAAUAUGCACUGGAAUUAGGAGUCUCGCACUUUACUGGCCCCUGCAGCUGCAGAGAUGACUGGUCACAUUGUCAUGGAUGAAGGUAACGGCAGAGUAGCGAGGGGCUGUGAACCCCCACUGGAGCUGACUGCCCGCCUAGAUCCUGACUCUGCCACUCUCAAGUCCCGUGAUGUGUCUCUGUGCCUUCCUUUCCACAGGGGUACAUGGAUGGCUGGGGCUGCGGGGUAGCGUUGUGUGUGUGCAUCCCUGGGAACCAUGCCUGGCACUCAGCAGGUGCCAGGUGAUGGUACCUGUUGCUACCAUCAUUGUGACUUCACUGGCUG
rnacentral:lncRNA from 10 species